UUAAGCGACUAAGCGUACACGGUGGAUGCCCUGGCAGUCAGAGGCGAUGAAGGACGUGCUAAUCUGCGAAAAGCGUCGGUAAGGUGAUAUGAACCGUUAUAGCCGGCGAUGUCCGAAUGGGGAAACCCAGUGCAAUUCGUUGCACUAUCGUUAACUGAAUACAUAGGUUAACGAGGCGAACCGGGGGAACUGAAACAUCUAAGUACCCCGAGGAAAAGAAAUCAACCGAGAUUCCCCCAGUAGCGGCGAGCGAACGGGGAGCAGCCCAGAGUCUGAAUCAGCUUGUGUGUUAGUGGAACGGUCUGGAAAGUCCGACGGUACAGGGUGAUAGUCCCGUACACCAAAAUGCACAGGUUGUGAACUCGAAGAGUAGGGCGGGACACGUGGUAUCCUGUCUGAAUAUGGGGGGACCAUCCUCCAAGGCUAAAUACUCCUGACUGACCGAUAGUGAACCAGUACCGUGAGGGAAAGGCGAAAAGAACCCCGGCGAGGGGAGUGAAAAAGAACCUGAAACCGUGUACGUACAAGCAGUGGGAGCACCUUCGGGUGUGACUGCGUACCUUUUGUAUAAUGGGUCAGCGACUUAUAUUCUGUAGCAAGGUUAACCGUAUAGGGGAGCCGCAGGGAAACCGAGUCUUAACUGGGCGUUAAGUUGCAGGGUAUAGACCCGAAACCCGGUGAUCUAGCCAUGGGCAGGUUGAAGGUUGGGUAACACUAACUGGAGGACCGAACCGACUAAUGUUGAAAAAUUAGCGGAUGACUUGUGGCUGGGGGUGAAAGGCCAAUCAAACCGGGAGAUAGCUGGUUCUCCCCGAAAGCUAUUUAGGUAGCGCCUCGUGAACUCAUCUUCGGGGGUAGAGCACUGUUUCGGCUAGGGGGUCAUCCCGACUUACCAACCCGAUGCAAACUACGAAUACCGAAGAAUGUUAUCACGGGAGACACACGGCGGGUGCUAACGUCCGUCGUGAAGAGGGAAACAACCCAGACCGCCAGCUAAGGUCCCAAAGUCAUGGUUAAGUGGGAAACGAUGUGGGAAGGCACAGACAGCCAGGAUGUUGGCUUAGAAGCAGCCAUCAUUUAAAGAAAGCGUAAUAGCUCACUGGUCGAGUCGGCCUGCGCGGAAGAUGUAACGGGGCUAAACCAUGCACCGAAGCUGCGGCAGCGACACUAUGUGUUGUUGGGUAGGGGAGCGUUCUGUAAGCCUGCGAAGGUGACCUGUGAGGGUUGCUGGAGGUAUCAGAAGUGCGAAUGCUGACAUAAGUAACGAUAAAGCGGGUGAAAAGCCCGCUCGCCGGAAGACCAAGGGUUCCUGUCCAACGUUAAUCGGGGCAGGGUGAGUCGACCCCUAAGGCGAGGCCGAAAGGCGUAGUCGAUGGGAAACAGGUUAAUAUUCCUGUACUUGGUGUUACUGCGAAGGGGGGACGGAGAAGGCUAUGUUAGCCGGGCGACGGUUGUCCCGGUUUAAGCAUGUAGGCUGGUUGUCCAGGCAAAUCCGGAUAAUCAAGGCUGAGGUGUGAUGACGAGGCACUACGGUGCUGAAGUAACAAAUGCCCUGCUUCCAGGAAAAGCCUCUAAGCAUCAGGUAACAUUGAAUCGUACCCCAAACCGACACAGGUGGUCAGGUAGAGAAUACCAAGGCGCUUGAGAGAACUCGGGUGAAGGAACUAGGCAAAAUGGUGCCGUAACUUCGGGAGAAGGCACGCUGGUGUGUAGGUGAAGUCCCUGCGGAUGGAGCUGAGACCAGUCGAAGAUACCAGCUGGCUGCAACUGUUUAUUAAAAACACAGCACUGUGCAAACACGAAAGUGGACGUAUACGGUGUGACGCCUGCCCGGUGCCGGAAGGUUAAUUGAUGGGGUUAUCCGUAAGGAGAAGCUCUUGAUCGAAGCCCCGGUAAACGGCGGCCGUAACUAUAACGGUCCUAAGGUAGCGAAAUUCCUUGUCGGGUAAGUUCCGACCUGCACGAAUGGCGUAAUGAUGGCCAGGCUGUCUCCACCCGAGACUCAGUGAAAUUGAACUCGCUGUGAAGAUGCAGUGUACCCGCGGCAAGACGGAAAGACCCCGUGAACCUUUACUAUAGCUUGACACUGAACAUUGAGCCUUGAUGUGUAGGAUAGGUGGGAGGCUUUGAAGCGUGGACGCCAGUCUGCGUGGAGCCAACCUUGAAAUACCACCCUUUAAUGUUUGAUGUUCUAACGUUGGCCCCUGACCGGGGUUGCGGACAGUGUCUGGUGGGUAGUUUGACUGGGGCGGUCUCCUCCCAAAGCGUAACGGAGGAGCACGAAGGUUAGCUAAUCCUGGUCGGACAUCAGGAGGUUAGUGCAAUGGCAUAAGCUAGCUUGACUGCGAGCGUGACGGCGCGAGCAGGUGCGAAAGCAGGUCAUAGUGAUCCGGUGGUUCUGAAUGGAAGGGCCAUCGCUCAACGGAUAAAAGGUACUCCGGGGAUAACAGGCUGAUACCGCCCAAGAGUUCAUAUCGACGGCGGUGUUUGGCACCUCGAUGUCGGCUCAUCACAUCCUGGGGCUGAAGUAGGUCCCAAGGGUAUGGCUGUUCGCCAUUUAAAGUGGUACGCGAGCUGGGUUUAGAACGUCGUGAGACAGUUCGGUCCCUAUCUGCCGUGGGCGCUGGAGAAUUGAGGGGGGCUGCUCCUAGUACGAGAGGACCGGAGUGGACGCAUCACUGGUGUUCGGGUUGUCAUGCCAAUGGCACUGCCCGGUAGCUAAAUGCGGAAGAGAUAAGUGCUGAAAGCAUCUAAGCACGAAACUUGCCCCGAGAUGAGUUCUCCCUGAGACUUUAAGUCUCCUGAAGGAACGUUGAAGACGACGACGUUGAUAGGCCGGGUGUGUAAGCGCAGCGAUGCGUUGAGCUAACCGGUACUAAUGAACCGUGAGGCUUAACCU
rnacentral:rRNA from 1 species